rnacentral:rRNA from 1 species
CGCCAGACUCCUACGGGAGGCAGCAGUGGGGAAUAUUGCACAAUGGGGGAAACCCUGAUGCAGCGGCGCCGCGUGAGUGAAGAAGUAUUUCGGUAUGUAAAGCUCUAUCAGCAGGGAAGAAAAUGACGGUACCUGAUUAAGAAGCCCCGGCUAACUACGUGCCAGCAGCCGCGGUAAUACGUAGGGGGCAAGCGUUAUCCGGAUUUACUGGGUGUAAAGGGGGCGCAGACGGCGAUGCAAGCCAGGAGUGAAAGCCCGGGGCCCAACCCCGGGACUGCUCUUGGAACUGCGUGGCUGGAGUGCAGGAGGGGCAGGCGGAAUUCCUGGUGUAGCGGUGAAAUGCGUAGAUAUCAGGAGGAACACCGGUGGCGAAGGCGGCCUGCUGGACUGCAACUGACGUUGAGGCCCGAAAGCGUGGGGAGCAAACAGGAUUAGAUACCCCCGUA